rnacentral:rRNA from 1 species
AGAGUUUGAUCAUGGCUCAGGACGAACGCUGGCGGCGUGCUUAACACAUGCAAGUGGAGCGACGAACCCUUCGGGGGGCAAAGCCGCGAACGGGUGAGUAACACGUGGGUAACCUGCCCCGAUGACUGGGACAACCCGGGGAAACCCGGGCUAAUACCGGAUGUUGUGCACACACUUAAGUGUGUUCACUAAAGGUAGCUUCGGCUUCCGCAUCGGGAGGGGCCCGCGGCCCAUUAGCUUGUUGGUGAGGUAACGGCUCACCAAGGCGACGAUGGGUAGCUGGUCUGAGAGGACGAUCAGCCACACUGGGACUGAGACACGGCCCAGACUCCUACGGGAGGCAGCAGUGGGGAAUCUUGCGCAAUGCGCGAAAGCGUGACGCAGCAACGCCGCGUGAGGGAAGACGGCCUUCGGGUUGUAAACCUCUUUCAGUGGGGACGAAGGCCGGCCGGUGAAUAGCCGUGUCGGUUGACGGUACCUUCAGAAGAAGCUCCGGCUAACUACGUGCCAGCAGCCGCGGUAAUACGUAGGGAGCAAGCGUUGUCCGGAAUCAUUGGGCGUAAAGCGCGCGUAGGCGGCCCGGUAAGUCCGUCGUGAAAGUCAAAGGCUCAACCUUUGAAUGUCGAUGGAUACUGCCGGGCUAGAGUCCGGAAGAGGCGAGUGGAAUUCCUGGUGUAGCGGUGGAAUGCGCAGAUAUCAGGAGGAACACCAAUAGCGAAGGCAGCUCGCUGGGACGGUACUGACGCUAAGGCGCGAAAGCGUGGGGAGCGAACAGGAUUAGAUACCCUAGUAGUCC